AAGUGGGUCUUCAGAGAUGAGGGAUGUCGCCAAUCCCAGACGAGCCCCCAAGAUGAAAGACCUCCGAAUAGGGGAGACCCUCACUGAAGUCUCUGGAUGAUGCAACCCCACCCCCACCCCAAGAACU
rnacentral:pre_miRNA from 7 species